AUUGAACGCUGGCGGCAGGCUUAACACAUGCAAGUCGAGCGAGCGGCGGACGGGUGAGUAAUGUCUGGGAAACUGCCUGAUGGAGGGGGAUAACUACUGGAAACGGUAUCUAAUACCGCAUACCCUCAGACGUCCCUAGAUGGGAUUAGCUAGUAGGUGGGGUAAUGGCUCACCUAGGCGACGAUCCCUCGCUGGUCUGAGAGGAUGACCAGCCACACUGGAACGGAGACACGGUCCAGACUCCUACGGGAGGCAGCAGUGGGGAAUAUUGAACAAUGGGCGCAAGCCUGAUGCAGCCAUGCCGCGUGUAUGAAGAAGGCCUUCGGGUUGUAAAGCACGUUCAGCGGGGAGGCGUUACUCGCAGAAGAAGCACCGGCUAACUCCGUGCCAGCAGCCGCGGUAAUAC
rnacentral:rRNA from 1 species